UACAGAGGUCCCAAGCGUUGUUCGGAUUCACUGGGCGUAAAGGGUGCGUAGGCGGUCGGGUAAGUCUGAUGUGAAAUCUCACAGCUUAACUGUGAAACUGCAUUGGAUACUAUUCGGCUUGAGAGUUGGAGGGGGGGACUGGAAUUCUUGGUGUAGCAGUGAAAUGCGUAGAUAUCAAGAGGAACACCAGUGGCGAAGGCGAGUCCCCUGGACAACUUCUGACGCUGAGGCACGAAAGCUAGGGGGAGCAAACAGG
rnacentral:rRNA from 1 species